CGCAACUUGUUGUCUGGCUGCACCUGAAUGCACCAAUGACAUUAGUUUGAUCUUUUGAUUGUAUUUCGUUUGGAUUUGAAGAAGCUUUGAAGACGAGCAGCUUUGUACCUUUGCGCCUAGAGCAGCAGAACACACACUCUCCUGGACCUGACAUGGACCUGGGCUUGGACCUGGACCUGGAUCCAGCUGUGUGUCUGGGAAGAGUAACCAGUCAAAGGAGCAUCCCCUUCAUUUCAGAUGAUCUGUAGGUGGAAGCAGCAGAGACCAGACUGUCCUGAACCCGGCUGUCUGUCCUUCAAGAGCGACCAGUCGAAGGAUGAAUUAAUUAAGUCUAAAGACAUCCGUCCAUCGGCUGACCAGAU